AAUCCUCAUUGUUGAUACAGAAAUGCUAUAGGGACACAAACCCCCAACAAAAAUACAACACAUGAAGGGUACAUUUGUCAUUUUGCUCAUCAACAAACCUCCCACACUUUUCUUUUAUUUUUUUUUUCUGUUUCUUUACCAUAUGCACGAAGAGAAAGAAGAACAACUUGCUCUUCACCAUUCACCACCCUUCUUCUCCCUCUCUCUGUCAAACCCCUCUUCUCCCUCCACCACCAUUCAUUGAUGCCACCGAUCUCCCACUACAAGAAAAUAUAGAGAUAGCGACAGUCAAUUUGAGGUGCUAUCAAGGGAACCGCCACCGCUCUGGUCAAUACCGACGGUUAUUGCGGCGUUCAUUCAACUGCCUAUGCUGGUUGUAAAUUUCGGCGGUUUCGUGUGUAUUGCGGCGGCGGUAUUAGUGUGUACAGCGGCGGCUAGAUUAGGAAUGAGUGUUGGUUCAAAUUGUUCACUGUUUCCGAUUCGAGUUCGUUUUCACUACAUCACUCACGUUUCGAUUCACGUUUCCUUCAAGCUUUAGAUUCACGAUUCACAAUUUACCUUCAAUCAACUUCAAAAUCCAGACAAAGGGCAGUAGGAAGCAAGUGCUAUAGACAUGAUCGUGAGAGAAGGGGAUUGAGAGAAUCUUAAGCUAUUCAUGCAUCUGAUGGCCAUGCUGAACUGGUCUUGUCAAUGUAGGUAAAAUCAUUGUUAACUCUAAUAGUAACCCAACUCUCGUGAAGGAAAAAGAACUCAAGCAUCUUGGUCAUGGAGAUGCCAAUUCUCAUGUUUGUAAAGUGUAUUAAAUUAUAUUGUGUUUCAUCACUAACAAAGUUUGAUAUUAGUUUUUAAUUUUUAAUGGAAUUGUGGCAUAUAAUUGAUUUGAAAACAGGAACAGCAGUACAACACCAAAGGGGAGCAGCUAAUGAAAUUUCCAUGACAGCUAUGUUUCUAUUCAAAGCUAUUGGCCCUGCUACUGGUGGUACAAUGCACAAAUAAACUUCAAUAUUGAGGAUGGUCCAUUAUUGUGACAAAGUGCAUGUGCUUGGGAGGCCAUUAAUACCCUGUGGAAAUCGAGCAUGGUCCAUUAUAUAUUUUCUUUCUUCUUGAACUUCUCCUUUGAAAGUUUGAUUUAUGCUCAGAACUUCUCCUGUGGAAGUUUGAGGAAAGGAAUUUUCAUUGCUGAAGCAAUUUUCAUCUUUGCAACCAUGAUUCUUAAAGUAUACUACUACAUGUACUUCACAAAGGCAACCACAACUCCACUUUCUCGGACGACUAACAGGGUUAGUUCGUCAGAUGGAAUGAUUGGAUAUGCAUGAUGAAUCAUGAAAGGGUAACAAAUUUUGAGUAUUCAUUUCAAUGGAUGUCAUUUCUCUAUGAAAUAACUACAUGGUAAAAUAGUGGUGUUUACUUUGUUUUUUGCUUAGUUAACUAGUGCUUAUAAUGCUCUGAUGGAUGUUAAACUCAAAAGCAAGUUAUUAUACUAUUAUAUUUAAGUUUAGGUGAAGGGGAUGUACUAAACUAAAUUUUGGAAGCAUGUGUCACAUGCAAUGAGGUUUCAGAUAAACUUUACAUUAUAUUUUUUACUAUUAAUUAAUUAUUUGUCUGAGUAUUUUUUUUUAUUGCGACUU